rnacentral:rRNA from 1 species
AGAGUUUGAUCAUGGCUCAGAGCGAACGCUGGCGGCAUGCUUAACACAUGCAAGUCGCGCGGCCGGCAACGGCAGCGGCGGACGGGUGAGUAACGCGUGGGGAUCUGUCUCCGGGUGGGGGAUAACGAUGGGAAACUAUCGCUAAUACCGCAUGAAACCCGAGGGUCAAAGGCGCAAGUCGCCUGGAGAGGAACCCGCGUACGAUUAGCUUGUUGGCGGGGUAAAGGCCCACCAAGGCGACGAUCGUUAGCUGGUCUGAGAGGAUGAUCAGCCACACUGGGACUGAGACACGGCCCAGACUCCUACGGGAGGCAGCAGUGGGGAAUAUUGGACAAUGGGCGCAAGCCUGAUCCAGCAAUGCCGCGUGAGUGAAGAAGGUCUUCGGAUUGUAAAGCUCUUUCGGCGGGGACGAUGAUGACGGUACCCGCAGAAGAAGCCCCGGCUAACUUCGUGCCAGCAGCCGCGGUAAUACGAAGGGGGCUAGCGUUGCUCGGAAUGACUGGGCGUAAAGGGCGCGUAGGCGGUUCGUACAGUCAGACGUGAAAUUCCCGGGCUCAACCUGGGGACUGCGUUUGAUACGUACGGGCUUGAGUUCGGAAGAGGGUCGUGGAAUUCCCAGUGUAGAGGUGAAAUUCGUAGAUAUUGGGAAGAACACCGGUGGCGAAGGCGGCGACCUGGUCCGAUACUGACGCUGAGGCGCGAAAGCGUGGGGAGCAAACAGGAUUAGAUACCCCAGUAGUCC